CCUACGGGAGGCAGCAGUGAGGAAUAUUGGUCAAUGGCCGGAAGGCUGAACCAGCCAAGCCGCGUGAAGGACGAAGGUGCCAAGCAUUGUAAACUUCUUUUGUCAAGGGACAAAAUCAGGCUCGAGAGCCUGACCGAGGGUACUUGAAGAAAAAGCAUCGGCUAACUCCGUGCCAGCAGCCGCGGUAAUACGGAGGAUGCGAGCGUUAUCCGGAUUUAUUGGGUUUAAAGGGUGCGUAGGCGGACUGUUAAGUCAGCGGUAAAAUCCCGGGGCUCAACCCCGGCGAGCCGUUGCAACUGGCUGUCUUGAGAUGUCGAGAGGUAUGCGGAAUGCGCAGUGUAGCGGUGAAAUGCUUAGAUAGUGCGCAGAACUCCGAUUGCGAAGGCAGCAUACCGGCGGCGAUCUGACGCUGAGGCACGAAAGCGUGGGUAUCGAACAGGAUUAGAUACCCCUGUAGUC
rnacentral:rRNA from 1 species